rnacentral:rRNA from 1 species
GGGGUCCACCUGUUCUCAUACCGAACACAGAAGUUAAGCCCAAUUGCGCUCAAAGUACUUGGCUGGACACGGCCCGGGAGGAUAGAGUUUUGCCGCAU